UCCCUGGUGGUCCAGUGGCUAAGACUCCACAUUCCCAAUGCAGGGGGCCUGGGUUCAAUUCCUGGUUAGGGAA
rnacentral:tRNA from 1 species